AUGAUGCUCAAUCUAGAUCUCAGAUCAUGCAACCCGAUGGUGCAAAUGUCGACGCCGUCUACUGUUAUCUGGCCGACAGUGGGAUCCAUGAUACGGAAAAGGGCCUGUAUGAGAGUUGAUUUACCACUGCCUGUUCUACCAACAAUACCUGUCUUCAUGCCUCCAGGAAAAGUGACUGUAAGGCCCUUCAGAACAAACGGUAGUUGUGGAGCAUAUUUCACCUGCAUCAUUCUUAAAAUGUUAAGGACCUGUGAUGGCAAAGCACCCAAUCUAACAAUUACUUUGGCCAUGAGUCUAGAUUUCUGA
rnacentral:rRNA from 1 species